GGGGGCAUAGCUCAGGGGUAGAGCGCGCGCUUCGCAUGCGCGAGGGCUGGGGUUCGAUUCCCCAUGCCUCCA
rnacentral:tRNA from 1 species